rnacentral:rRNA from 1 species
AUUGAACGCUGGCGGCAUGCCUUACACAUGCAAGUCGAACGGUAACAGGUUAAGCUGACGAGUUGCGAACGGGUGAGUAAUGUAUCGGAACGUGCCCAGUCGUGGGGGAUAACUGCGCGAAAGAGCAGCUAAUACCGCAUACGACCUGAGGGUGAAAGCGGGGGCUCGCAAGACCUCGCGCGAUUGGAGCGGCCGCUAUCAGAUUAGGUAGUUGGUGAGGUAAAGGCGCAGCAAGCCGACGAUCUGUAGCUGGUCUGAGAGGACGACCAGCCACCCUGGGACUGAGACACGGCCCAGACUCCUACGGGAGGCAGCAGUGGGGAAUUGUGGACAAUGGGCGCAAGCCUGAUCCAGCCAUGCCGCGUGCGGGAAGAAGGCCUUCGGGUUGUAAACCGCUUUUGUCAGGGAAGAACAGGUUCUGGCUAAUACCUGGGACUCGUGACGGUACCUGAAGAAUAAGCACCGGCUAACUACGUG